ACCCAGAUGGCGAAAUAGGUAGACGCGUUGGAUUCAAAAUCCAAUGAUUUUACAUCAUGCGGGUUCGAAUCCCGCUCUGGGUACUA
rnacentral:tRNA from 1 species